rnacentral:rRNA from 1 species
CGAGCUGUAAAUUAUGCUUGCUAGAUGUUUUGGACCCUUGUGGUCUGGAGUGUCGUAAUCUAACGAGUUAAGCAAGUCGCCUGUGUAGUAUAUUCGCAAGAAUGAAACACAAAGGGAUAGGCGGGGGAACACACAAGCAGUGGAUUAUCUAGAUUAAUUGGAUACUAAGCCAAGAAUCUUACCUAAACUUGACAUGUACUAUGUCCUAUGUGAAAGCAUAGUAGUCUGAGCAAUCAGGCGUGGUACACAGGUGG